CAGGAAUAUUGGGCAAUGGGCGAAAGCCUGACCCAGCAACGCCGCGUGAAGGAUGAAGGCCUUCGGGUCGUAAACUUCUGUCGAGAGGGAAGAAUGUGUACGGGUGAACAAUCCGUGCAUUUGACGGUACCUCCAAAGGAAGCACCGGCUAACUCCGUGCCAGCAGCCGCGGUAAUACGGAGGGUGCAAGCGUUGUUCGGAUUCAUUGGGCGUAAAGCGAGUGUAGGCGGUUUGACAAGUCGGAUGUGAAAUCCCGGGGCCCAACCCCGGAACUGCAUCCGAUACUGUCUGGCUAGAGUCCCGGAGAGGGUGGCGGAAUUCCCGGUGUAGGGGUGAAAUCCGUAGAUAUCGGGAGGAACACCAGUGGCGAAGGCGGCCACCUGGACGGUGACUGACGCUGAGACUCGAAAGCGUGGGUAGCAAAC
rnacentral:rRNA from 1 species